rnacentral:rRNA from 1 species
CACGUAGGGCGCAAGCGUUUGUCCGGAAUUAUUGGGCGUAAAGAGCUCGUAGGCGGUCUGUUGCGUCCGCUGUGAAAACUCGGGGCUUAACCCUGAGCUUGCAGUGGGUACGGGCAGACUAGAGUGCGGUAGGGGGAGACUGGAAUUCCUGGUGUAGCGGUGAAAUGCGCAGAUAUCAGGAGGAACACCGGUGGCGAAGGCGGGUCUCUGGGCCGUAACUGACGCUGAGGAGCGAAAGCAGU